rnacentral:rRNA from 1 species
AUUGAACGCUGGCGGCAGGCCUAACACAUGCAAGUCGAACGAGUGGCGGACGGGUGAGUAAUGUCUGGGAAACUGCCCGUAGGAGGGGGAUAACUACUGGAAACGGUAGCUAAUACCGCAUACCAUCGGAUGUGCCCAGAUGGGAUUAGCUGGUAGGUGGGGUAACGGCUCACCAGGGCGACGAUCCCUAGCUGGUCCGAGAGGAUGACCGGCCACCCUGGACCUGGACCACGGUCCGGACUCCUACGGGAGGCAGCAGUGGGGAAGAUUGCACAAUGGGCGCAAGCCUGAUGCAGCCAUGCCGCGUGUAUGAAGAAGGCCUUCGGGUUGUAAAGUACUUUCAUCGAGGAGGCGUUACUCGCAGAAGAAGCACCGGCUAACUCCGUGCCAGCAGCCGCGGUAAUUC